AGAGAUGCAUUGGGCUUAAAGUGUGCGCAGGCGGUUUUGUAAGACAGAGGUGAAAUCCCCGGGCUCAACCUGGGAACUGCCUUUGUGACUGCAAGGCUGGAGUGCGGCAGAGGGGGAUGGAAUUCCGCGUGUAGCAGUGAAAUGCGUAGAUAUGCGGAGGAACACCGAUGGCGAAGGCAAUCCCCUGGGCCUGCACUGACGCUCAUGCACGAAAGCGUGGGGAGCAAACA
rnacentral:rRNA from 1 species